UCCAACUUGUCGCUGGCGGUCUCCUGCGAGUGCGGCUCCGAAGAGCUGGGCAACACAGGACGAGGGUUGCGCUCGUUGCGGGACUUAACCCAACAUCUCACGACACGAGCUGACGACAACCAUGCACCACCUGUGAACCGGCCCCUAAGGGGAGACCACAUCUCUGCAGCGGUCCGGUCCAUGUCAAGCCUUGGUAAGGUUCUUCGCGUUGCAUCGAAUUAAUCCGCAUGCUCCGCCGCUUGUGCGGGCCCCCGUCAAUUCCUUUGAGUUUUAGCCUUGCGGCCGUACUCCCCAGGCGGGGCGCUUAAUGCGUUAGCUACGGCGCGGAAAACGUGGAAUGUCCCCCACACCUAGUGCCCAACGUUUACGGCAUGGACUAC
rnacentral:misc_RNA from 1 species